CUUGGUAGGGGAGCGUCGUGUACCGGGGUGAAGCAUGAGCGGAAGCACGUGUGGACUGUACACGAGUGAGAAUGCCGGAAUGAGUAGCGAGAAUUAUGUGGGAAUCAUAAUGGCCGAAAAUCUAAGGUUUCCUGGGCAAGGUUCGUCCUCCCAGGGUAAGUCGGGAGCUAAGGCGAGGCCGAGAGGCGUAGUCGAUGCACAUACGGUUGAAAUUCCGUAACCACCGAAAGGUUUAAACACAGGGACACAUAGAGAUAGCGGGACCCCGGCGUUGGUUGACCGGGGCGCAAGGGACCGAACAUCAGUAGGGAAGUCCGCGAUGCUCUGUGGCGAGAAAAGCUGUGUAUAUCUAAGGUGCCCGUACCGCAAACCGACACAGGUAGAUGAGGAGAGAAUCCUAAGGCCAACGGGAGAAGGGUUGUUAAGGAACUCGGCAAAUUGACCCCGUAACUUUGGAAGAAGGGGAGCCCCCGUUUUGGGGGGCCGCAGAGAAUAGGCCCAAGCAACUGUUUACCAAAAACACAGGUCUCUGCUAAGUCGAAAGACGACGUAUAGGGGCUGACGCCUGCCCGGUGCCGGAAGGUUAAGAGGAGAGCUUAGCGCAAGCGAAGGUUUGAAUUGAAGCCCCGGUAAACGGCGGCCGUAACGAUAACGGUCCUAAGGUAGCGAAAUUCCUUGUCAGGUAAGUUCUGACCCGCACGAAUGGCGUAAUGAUUUGGGCACUGUCUCAACAGCCCGCCCGGUGAAAUUGUAGUACUGGUGAAGAUGCCAGUUACCCGCAACUAGACGGAAAGACCCCAUGGAGCUUUACUGCAGCUUAAUACUGAGGAUUGGUAAUGCAUGUACAGGAUAGGUGGGAGCCUGGGAAACUCUGGCGUCAGUUGCAGCGGAGGCGCCCUUGGAAUACCACCCUUGUGUUACUGGUUUUCUAACCUGCGGCCGUGAAUCCGGUCGGGGGACACUGUUAGGCGGGCAGUUUGACUGGGGCGGUCGCCUCCAAAAGAGUAACGGAGGCGCUCAAAGCUUGGCUCAGCACGGACGGAAAUCGUGCACAGAGCGUAAACGCAGAAGCCAGGUUGACUGCGACACCGACGGGUGGAGCAGGUACGAAAGUAGGAGUUAGUGAUCCGGUGGUAUGUGAGUGGAAAUGCCAUCGCUCAACGGAUAAAAGCUACCCUGGGGAUAACAGGCUGAUCUCCCCCAAGCGUCCACAGCGACGGGGAGGUUUGGCACCUCGAUGUCGGCUCGUCACAUCCUGGGGCUGAAUUUGGUCCCAAGGGUUCGGCUGUUCGCCGAUUAAAGUGGCACGCGAGCUGGGUUCAGAACGUCGUGAGACAGUUCGGUCCCUAUCUGUUGCGGGCGCAGGAGAUUUGAUGGGAGCUGUCCUUAGUACGAGAGGACCGGGAUGGACAGACCUCUGGUGCACCAGUUGUCGUGCCAACGGCACAGCUGGGUAGCUACGUCUGGACGAGAUAAACGCUGAAAGCAUCUAAGCGUGAAACUCCCCCAAAGAUAAGAUCUCCCCCCUUUAUGGGGUAAGGGUCGAUGUAGACUACAUCGUUGAUAGGCCGAAGGUGUAAGCACGGUAACGUGUUCAGCUGAUCGGUACUAAUCACCCGAGGGCUUGACUU
rnacentral:rRNA from 1 species